GCGGGACAAUGGCGCCGGACGAGGGAAAACUACAAUUGUCUGAAAGAACUACCACCUAGUUUUCCUGCGCUAACUAACCCAAUUUAAAGAAAAGUCACUGUUUCUAAACAAUGUCAGUUUCCAUUUUGGGGUAAUAUUGAAGAGCUUCAAAUAAAUCAAAACCGUUUCCCAGCCUACCUUCAGGGUGCAAGGGUGCACUUCCCUUCUAGCACCCACUCUGAUGAGGGAGAAGGUCAGGCGACAGGAGGGUGUUUAAAGC
rnacentral:lncRNA from 1 species